rnacentral:rRNA from 1 species
UACGUAGGGAGCAAGCGUUGUCCGGAAUCAUUGGGCGUAAAGCGCGCGUAGGCGGCCCGGUAAGUCCGCUGUAAAAGUCAAAGGCUCAACCUUUGAAUGUCAGUGGAUACUGCCGGGCUAGAGUCCGGAAGAGGCGAGUGGAACUCCUGGUGUAGCGGUGGAAUGCGCAGAUAUCAGGAAGAACACCGGCGGCGAAGGCAGCUCGCUGGAACGGUACUGACGCUGAGGCGCGAAAGCGUGGGGAGCGAACAGG